rnacentral:rRNA from 1 species
AAUGGGCGAAAGCCUGAUCCAGCCAUGCCGCGUGGAUGAAGAAGGCCCUAGGGUUGUAAAAUCCUUUCGCUAGGGAUGAUAAUGACAGUACCUAGUAAAGAAGCCCCGGCUAAUUUCGUGCCAGCAGCCGCGGUAAUACGAAAGGGGCUAGCGUUGUUCGGAAUUACUGGGCGUAAAGCGCGCGUAGGCGGUCUUGUAAGUUAGAGGUGAAAUCCCGGGGCUCAACCCCGGAACUGCCUUUAAAACUACAAAACUAGAGGAUGUGAGAGGAGUGUGGAAUUCCGAGUGUAGAGGUGAAUUCGUAGAUAUUCGGAAGAACACCAGUGGCGAGGCGACACUCUGGCGCAUUUCUGACGCUGAGGCGCGAAAGCGUGGGGAGUAAACAGGAUU